ACCCUUUAGGCGCCUCUCUUCCCUCCCCAUUUCCCAAACCCUAGCGCCGCCCCUCUUCUCUUUCUCUCUCUUCGCAUCAUCAGUGCCAUUUUUGGCAAAAUUGCAGAUGUACGGUGCUUUUCCAAGUCUGGUGUAGCCAGAUUGAGCAAAGCAUUAAAUGCUCCCACUCGUUUUUGCAUACCUCCACCCAAACACGGUAUUAUCCCUCUAUUUUCUUCACCUUUUUUACAUUUCAGCAGUAAUAUAUCUGCAAGUCUUUAAUUAUUUUUGGUUGUUUGUGGUUUGAAUGGACGAAUCUCAUUGGUUCAAGAAGAACUGAAUUGAUCGAUCAUUUGAGGGAAAAAUCCGACCCUCCGUGCUUUAUUUUUACUUGAAUCGUGGCCAUUGAGGCCUGAAUCGAGACUUGGUAUGCAAAAUUCGCACCUUGUCCCACAUCGGCGAAAAUUGGGAUUUUCACUUCAAUUUGGGGUUAUAAAUAGAACCCAUAGAUUACAUUAUUGAACAAGCUUGAACACCCUUGAUUGAGUAUUCUGAUAUAUUCACUCGAGUUACUCGAAAUACCUAAUUUUAGAGCAUUUUAGCUUUAGAAUUUUAAGAGUUUGAAUUAUUUAAUUGUAAAAGUUUUAUUUGUUGUUCUUGUGUGGAGUUGUGGUUGGUUUUGAUCGGGGAAACAAGCUCUCCAAGUCCAAUUCUCCACCAGGCUGCACUGAAAAAAUUCUGAGAUGAGAUUUCCUGGAAGACUUUCUCAUCCUAACUUGGUCAAACUCUUGGGAUACUGCCAAGAAGAUAAAGAACUACUUCUGUCUAUGAGUUUAUGCAAAAGGGCAGCUUGGACAACCAUCUUUUUGGAAGGCGCUCUGCUUCUUUGUCACUUCCAUGGAAUGUAAGGCUUGACAUUGUGAUUGGCGCAGCUCGAGGCUUGGCAUUCCAACAUGCAACAAAUGAGCAAGGCAUGUACAUAAACCUCAAUGCCUCGAAUAUUUUACUUGAUGGUAGACCCUUUUCUUACUGGGCACGUUUCUGGCUUACACUCACUGUUUCGCCUAAAGUUUUGGAGCUCUUGAUCACGAAGUGACAAAACCGGACUAGCGGACCUAUAACAGUGAGAACAUUAGCGAGAAGGUUAUUAGAAAAACAGUUUCAUGACAUUCUUUAAUUCCUUUCUGUUUCAGUCUUACAAUGGGACAACAUGGAUAAAGGGAAUGGAUGGUUAUGCUGUUCCUGAGUAGCUUGCAACAGGAACUUGGAAUCUGUUGGGCUUCUGCACUUGGAAGUUCUACUUUUCCUGAAUCAGAUCUUGUGCUUACAGGUUUAAACAUAUAGAGUCAAAUCCGAAUAAAUGUUUGUUCAUACUUCUAUUAUCAUUUCUCAACAGGACACUUACACGUGAAGAGCGAUGUCUUCGGUUUCGGUGUCGUUUUAGCGGAAAUGCCAACAGGUCUACAGGUAAUAGACCCAAACCGCCCAAGCCACAAGAUUAAUCUGAUUGAAUGUAUUAAGCCACAUUUAUCUGAUCGAAGGUAGUUGAAGGACAAGAUGGAUUCGCGGCUGGGAGGAAUAUAUCCAUCCAUAGCUGCAGUACGAAUAGCACAACUGGCACUGUCAUGUCUUGGACAUGAACCUAAAACCAGACCAUCAAUGAAGGAAAUUGUUGAGAAACUAGAACAGAUUGAGGCUGAGGGUGAAAGACCCAAGAAGGAUUGAAUAAGUUCCAACCAUCAGACUGUGGUCAGCAAUCCAUCUCCACUUAAUCCAAGGCACGAUGUAAACCGAGCCUAUCCACUCCCUAGAAGAGAAAAAUGAAUAUGAUACUACUUUUUUUAUUUAUUUAUUUUAUAUUAAAAGUGGGAAGACUUUGAAUCAAAAGUUAAAUUAACAAAAAACUAUCAAAAUUUGAGUGACA